CUGCCGAGCACGGAGCACCUCCACGGACGACCACUGUCGCCGAGCGACUCCACCGCAGAACUCCUCCCCAAGCAGGCCUCCUCCCUCAACCUGAGCAGGUGAGCACCGAGCGGGAUUGCCUCCUCGACGUCCUCUCCGACCCCCCAAGCAGCGGAGCGUCCCUCUUCUCCCGUGACCAGCUCACUACCACAUCAACAUCCUCUGUCUGCCUCCUCUGCCCCAUCAAGAGCAUUUGGUGAGAUUUCUUUGCAGCCAAGGUUCAGUUCAAAUUGUGUACUUGGAUUCAGUUCCGACUUCUACAAUUGUUAGAUGGUUCAUUCCAAUGUGUGAACUUGGCAGAUGAUUCAAUCCAAACAUCCAAAAUUGUUAGAUGGGUUAGUUUAAUCUGUGUACUUGGCAGAUGAUUAGUUCUAGGUUUUACAACAAUUGUUUUUUGUUUUUAGUUGAUGCCUCAAAGUUGUAGCUUCUCUGUUUGUGUUUUGCAAAAUCGGAUUUGUGGACAGAACAAGUGUUUUGUUUUUAUGAUAUAAAUAAUGAUAUUCUUACUACUAUUUUAGUUUUUGUUGUUCUUGAAAUGACAUGUUUCAAUUGACUAUUCUAUUGUGCUAGAGCAUUCCUGGUCCAUAUUGUAUUUCUCCUUGCUUGUACUAGGUAUGAAUGACAUGCAUUUUGUCACUAGAUAAUUAUGACAGAGAUGUUUGAAAUGAUUCAUGAUAUGGCACACCUACUUGGGGAUUUGUGUGAUAGUGGCGGUGGGGAGGAUCCAAUUCACGAGGAUGUAGAGCCAGGCAGCAUUGAUCCCCUUCUAAAAGAAAAAGAAGCGUGAUGCGGAUGCUUUUCGACAAUUCAUAGCUGAUGAUAGCGGGGAGCUUUAUCCAGGGUGCACACAACCUUCUUAAAGCUACAUUUUGUUGUUAGGUUACUCCAUAUCAAAUCUCUUGGAGGUUGGUUUCAUAAAAGUUCUGACAUGAUGCUAGAGUUGCUAAAAGAGGCCUUCCCAACAGCUACAUGCUUACCUACUUGACAUAUAAUGUGCCAUUAAUUUUCUUUUCAGGAAAAAGAAUGGAACAAGAAAGAUACUAAGAUAAUUUUGAAGAACGAGAGGAAGAAUGGAACAAGAAAGAGACUAAGACAAUGUUCAAGAACGAGAGGAAGAGAGGCUACCGAGAAUUAGAACAACAAAUGGCCAGGAUUUUGAAUGGUUUGGCCGCCUUACAUUUUCAAAUAUAAAUGAAGAAUUUGGAGGCCCAGCUAGUCAGUGACAAACUAAAAGGAAGAAGGUGAUAUACCAUGCCAUUAAUUUUCUUUUCAGUUCCCAUGAUUUGGCUGUUUUAAGUGGUGGAAUGAUAAUGUAUUAUGUUUGUUUGUUGAACCUCGGGAAUAGCUUUGCAAAUAACAAACUUCAGUACAAAGAUGUCAAAGUUUUGAUAUAAACUGUACUAACUUAUAAUUGCAUAUUAUAAUUAUAGUGAACUAGAUAGGCGCUCACAUGCUAGUGGUCUGCGGUGACAUUUUAAGCUCUUGUUUAUUGUCUUUAAUGCCAGUGUGUAGCAGCCAGCAAAAUUAGCUCUACUUCUUGGUGUGAAUUUAUGAUGGUUAUUUAGUUUAUUUUAUUUUUACACUGCAUCAUGCUAUGUUUCAUGAGUAUAAACAUGAUAUGCUUGGCAUGCAGUUUUGGGGGAAAAAGGAAGCAUCUCAUGUGUAAAUUUCGUUUGACCUUGCAUUUUACUGCUUACUAUUUACUAUACAUCCAGAAUUGUACUUGGAAGUGUCAUUAUAGUUCUUUAGAAGUGGGCUUUUGUGUCCAUCAGCCAUGAUUUUGUAGAGAUGCCAGUUGAAUAAAUCUGAUUCUCUAAUCUCGCAAGGAUAAUGAUUAACUUCUGUAUAUAUAGAUACUCCUACAGCAUGUAUAAAAAAGAUAAUUUGAGUCAUUUCUCAUAAUUGGAUCCUCUUUCUUUCAUGUACAUGAAUUAUUUCAGCUUAUUUGUAUGUAGAAAGCCUUGGUUUUAUUUUCUAGGCUAAUUCAACUUGUGCAAGAUGUAGGAAAGUGAACCAAUAAAAAUUGUUUAUUGAACCAAAUGUUUGUAGUGUUUCACUGGAUUAAAUCUGUGGGCUUGUCACUAAUCGGAUACCAUUUAGGGGACCUUAAUUUCUCCAGCUAGUUUCCCUCUUAUUUUGUGUAGUACAUGUAGAGAGCUUAGAAGGAAAAGCAAGCUCAAAUACAAGCUAAUUUAAUUCACUGGCUAGUACAGUAACUUAGCGCAUUCAACCUGCUUAUACCAAUUUGCUUAUUGCCGUAACUUAUAUCACUCUAUUUCUCGAUCCUGCUUGAAGGUGCAACUGUAACUUUGCAUAUGUGCUUGUUCAAUACAGUAGCUUCAAAAUGCGCUUGUGUAAUAUUUAGUGUGUGAUUGUGGCCUCGUGCUUGUGUUUCCAAAUGCAGAAGACAAUCAAAUGGUCAUCAAUUCUGUUUGCUUUACUUCGGUACAGGAAUAGCCUCACUACAAGAUAGGUACACCUACUAAUUACUGUUGAUAUUUGUUAAUAUCUGUACAGACUUUGCAAACUAUAUUUGGAUGAGAAGUAAGAGAAGCUUGCUACUGUCAAGAUGAUAAAAAAUGGACAUGUUCUCUACUAAAGUAGAGAUUACUCUAGAGAUGGUACUAGUUGCUCUAUGUUUCAGAACAUAUACGGCUGUUGUAUGUGGUUGUUGUCACAUCUUCCUGUUUAUAGACUUUGCACAUUACAUUUUGAUGAGAAGAUAAGCUUGCUACUGUUAAGAUGAUAAAAAAUGGACACCUUCUCUACUAUAGUAGAGAUUAGUCUAGAGAAAAUAUGCGGCUGUUGUAUGUGAUUGUUGUAACAUCUUCCUUAAGUUCUGAAUGCUGCUGUUGUAUGUAACAUCUUACGAUCUAUGGCAGCUGCAGAUUUCCCAAAGGUGAACAAGUUCACUAAGGUUUGGAAGAUUUUCAAGCUGAUGAAGAUUUGGAAGACCUACAAUGUCCUGCGUCUUGUUUGUUGAACCUAGACAUUUGCUCUGCUCAUUUUGGUGGUGGUUUGGCUGUGUGGCACACAUCUAGAAGCAUAUGUACAUCUUUUGUGGCACUACUUUAGUUUGGUUGUGGGGUAAACAUAUAUAUGUACUCCUUUCGUGGCACAACCUCUACAUAUAUUGUCGUUAUGUUUAUCAAAUGAAGUUUAAGGUUUUCGAUGAGGCCUAUAUGUUACAUUGGUUGAAGUGCGUGUAUAAAUUGUGUGAUAUGUCUUGAUUGUCUGGACAUAUAUAAUGGAUGGAUAUUACAUAAUAGCGAUGCCUAGAACAUUUCGCUAGUGAAAUUAACA
rnacentral:lncRNA from 1 species